UUCUCUCCGAAAUAGCUUUAGGGCUAGCCUCGAGGUAAAGAGUCGUGGAGGUAGAGCACUGUUUGGACUAGGGGCCCUUCUCGGGUUACCGAAUUCAGAUAAACUCCGAAUGCCAUGUACUUAUACUCGGGAGUCAGACUGCGAGUGAUAAGAUCCGUAGUCGAAAGGGAAACAGCCCAGACCACCAGUUAAGGUCCCAAAAUAUAUGUUAAGUGGAAAAGGAUGUGGGGUUGCAUAGACAACCAGGAUGUUGGCUUAGAAGCAGCCACCAUUGAAAGAGUGCGUAAUAGCUCACUGGUCGAGUGACCCCGCGCCGAAAAUGUACCGGGGCUAAACAUAUUACCGAAACUGUGGAUGAACCUCUUCGGAGGUUCGUGGUAGGAGAGCGUUCUAAGGGCGGUGAAGUCAGACCGGAAGGACUGGUGGAGCGCUUAGAAGUGAGAAUGCCGGUAUGAGUAGCGAAAGAAGGGUGAGAAUCCCUUCCACCGAAUAUCUAAGGUUUCCUGAGGAAGGCUCGUCCGCUCAGGGUUAGUCGGGACCUAAGCUGAGGCCGAUAGGCGUAGGCGAUGGACAACAGGUAGAUAUUCCUGUACCAGUGCUAGUUGUUUGAGCAAUGGGGUGACACAGAAGGAUAGGGAAUCGCACAGAUGGAAACGUGCGUCCAAGCAGUGAGUGUGAGAAGUAGGCAAAUCCGCUUCUCGCGAAGCAUGAGCUGUGAUGGGGAAGGAAAUUAAGUACGGAAGUUCCUGAUUUCACGCUGUCAAGAAAAGCCUCUAGUUAGAUUAGUACUGCCCGUACCGCAAACCGACACAGGUAGAUGAGGAGAGAAUCCUAAGGUGAGCGAGAGAACUCUCGUUAAGGAACUCGGCAAAAUGACCCCGUAACUUCGGGAGAAGGGGUGCUCUAUUAGGGUGAAAGCCCGAGAGAGCCGCAGUGAAUAGGCCCAGGCGACUGUUUAGCAAAAACACAGGUCUCUGCAAAACCGUAAGGUGACGUAUAGGGGCUGACGCCUGCCCGGUGCUGGAAGGUUAAGAGGAGUGCUUAGCGCAAGCGAAGGUACGAAUUGAAGCCCCAGUAAACGGCGGCCGUAACUAUAACGGUCCUAAGGUAGCGAAAUUCCUUGUCGGGUAAGUUCCGACCCGCACGAAAGGCGCAACGAUCUGGGCACUGUCUCAACGAGAGACUCGGUGAAAUUAUAGUACCUGUGAAGAUGCAGGUUACCCGCGACAGGACGGAAAGACCCCGUGGAGCUUUACUGCAACCUGAUAUGGAAUGUUUGUACCGCUUGUACAGGAUAGGUAGGAGCCGAAGAGACGUGAGCGCCAGCUUACGAGGAGGCAAUGGUGGGAUACUACCCUGGCUGUAUGACCAUUCUAACCCGCCACGCUUAGCGCGUGGGGAGACAGUGUCAGGUGGGCAGUUUGACUGGGGCGGUCGCCUCCUAAAGAGUAACGGAGGCGCCCAAAGGUUCCCUCAGAAUGGAUGGAAAUCAUUCGCAGAGUGUAAAGGCACAAGGGAGCUUGACUGCGAGACUGACAAGUCGAGCAGGGACGAAAGUCGGGCUUAGUGAUCCGGUGGUUCCGCAUGGAAGGGCCAUCGCUCAACGGAUAAAAGCUACCCCGGGGAUAACAGGCUUAUCUCCCCCAAGAGUCCACAUCGACGGGGAGGUUUGGCACCUCGAUGUCGGCUCGUCGCAUCCUGGGGCUGUAGUCGGUCCCAAGGGUUGGGCUGUUCGCCCAUUAAAGCGGCACGCGAGCUGGGUUCAGAACGUCGUGAGACAGUUCGGUCCCUAUCCGUCGCGGGCGCAGGAAAUUUGAGAGGAGCUGUCCUUAGUACGAGAGGACCGGGAUGGACACACCGCUGGUGUACCAGUUGUUCCGCCAGGAGCAUCGCUGGGUAGCUAUGUGUGGCAGGGAUAAACGCUGAAAGCAUCUAAGCGUGAAGCCCCCCUCAAGAUGAGAUUUCCCAUUUCUUUAAGAAAGUAAGAUCCCUGAAAGAAGAUCAGGUAGAUAGGUUUGGAGUGGAAGUAUGGCGACAUAUGGAGCGGACAAAUACUAAUCGAUCGAGGACUUAACCAA
rnacentral:rRNA from 1 species